rnacentral:rRNA from 1 species
GUAGGUGGCAAGCGUUGUCCGGAAUUAUUGGGCGUAAAGCGCGCGCAGGUGGUUCUUUAAGUCUGAUGUGAAAGCCCCCGGGCUCAACCGGGGAGGGUCAUUGGAAACUGGGGAACUUGAGUGCAGGAGAGGAAAGUGGAAUUCCACGUGUAGCGGUGAAAUGCGUAGAUAUGUGGAGGAACACCAGUGGCGAAGGCGACUUUCUGGCCUGCAACUGACACUGAGGCGCGAAAGCGUGGGGAGCAAACAGGAUUAGAUACCCUGGUAGUCCACGCCGUAAACGAUGAGUGCUAAGUGUUGGGGGGUUUCCGCCCCUCAGUGCUGCAGCUAACGCAUUAAGCACUCCGCCUGGGGAGUACGGUCGCAAGACUG